rnacentral:rRNA from 1 species
UACGAAGGGGGCUAGCGUUGCUCGGAAUGACUGGGCGUAAAGGGCGCGUAGGCGGUUUGUACAGUCAGAUGUGAAAUUCCUGGGCUUAACCUGGGGGCUGCAUUUGAUACGUGCAGACUUGAGUGAGGAAGAGGGUCGUGGAAUUCCCAGUGUAGAGGUGAAAUUCGUAGAUAUUGGGAAGAACACCGGUGGCGAAGGCGGCGACCUGGUCCUUGACUGACGCUGAGGCGCGAAAGCGUGGGGAGCGAACAGG